rnacentral:misc_RNA from 1 species
AGCAGCCGCGGUAAUUCCAGCUCCAAUAGCGUAUAUUAAAGUUGUUGCAGUUAAAAAGCUCGUAGUUGAAUUUCGGGAUCAAUAUGUUGGUCGUGCCUCGGUACGUACUAGCAUAUUGAUUUCUCCUUUCUGAAGAACCAUGAUGUCAUUUAUUUGGUGUCGUGGGGAAUCAGGACUGUUACUUUGAAAAAAUUAGAGUGUUUAAAGCAGGCUCACGCUUGAAUACAUUAGCAUGGAAUAAUGAAAUAGGACGUUUGAUUCUAUUUUGUUGGUUUCUAGGAUCGACGUAAUGAUUAAUAGGGAUAGUUGGGGCGAUUAGUAUUCAAUUGUCAGAGGUGAAAUUCUUGGAUUUAUUGAAGACUAACUACUGCGAAAGCAUUUGCCAAGGAUGUUUUCAUUAAUCAAGAACGAAAGUUAGGGGAUCGAAGACGAUCAGAUACCGUCGUAGUCUUAACCAUAAACUAUGCCGACUAGGGAUCGGAUGAUGUUAAUUUUUUAAUGACUCAUUC